rnacentral:rRNA from 1 species
UUGGGCCUACGGGAGGCAGCAGUGGGGAAUAUUGCACAAUGGGGGAAACCCUGAUGCAGCGACGCCGUGUGAGUGAAGAAGUAAUUCGUUAUGUAAAGCUCUAUCAGCAGGGAAGAAAAUGACGGUACCUGAGUAAGAAGCCCCGGCUAACUACGUGCCAGCAGCCGCGGUAAUACGUAGGGGGCAAGCGUUAUCCGGAUUUACUGGGUGUAAAGGGAGCGUAGACAGCAGUGCAAGUCUGGAGUGAAAGGCGGGGGCUCAA